AACGCCGCGUGAGUGAUGAAGGCCUUCGGGUUGUAAAACUCUGUCUUCUGUGAAGAACAAGCCUAUGAUGAGAACGCUUAGGCCCUGACGGUAACAGAGGAGGAAGCCCCGGCUAACUACGUGCCAGCCACUUCGGUGACUGAGCGGGCUGGCAAGGCGCAUA
rnacentral:rRNA from 1 species